UACGGAGGAUCCAAGCGUUAUCCGGAUUUAUUGGGUUUAAAGGGUGCGUAGGCGGCCUAUUAAGUCAGGGGUGAAAGACGGUAGCUUAACUAUCGCAGUGCCCUCGAUACUGAUGGGCUUGAAUAUACUUGAGGUAGGCGGAAUGUGACAAGUAGCGGUGAAAUGCAUAGAUAUGUCACAGAACACCAAUUGCGAAGGCAGCUUACUAAGGUAUGAUUGACGCUGAGGCGCGAAAGCCAGGGGAGCAAACGGG
rnacentral:rRNA from 1 species